GAUGAACGCUGGCGGCGUGCCUAAUACAUGCAAGUCGAGCGAACAGACGAGGAUCUUGCUCCUCUGACGUUAGCGGCGGACGGGUGAGUAACACGUGGAUAACCUACCUAUAAGACUGGGAUAACUUCGGGAAACCGGAGCUAAUACCGGAUAAUAUAUUGAACCGCAUGGUUCAAUAGUGAAAGACGGUUUUGCUGUCACUUAUAGAUGGAUCCGCGCCGCAUUAGCUAGUUGGUAAGGUAACGGCUUACCAAGGCGACGAUGCGUAGCCGACCUGAGAGGGUGAUCGCCCACACUGGAACUGAAACGCGGUCCAGACUCCUACGGGAGGCAGCAGUAGGGAAUCUGCCGCAAUGGGCGAAAGCCUGACGGAGCAACGCCGCGUGAGUGAUGAAGGUCUUCGGAUCGUAAAACUCUGUUAUUAGGGAAGAACAAAUGUGUAAGUAACUAUGCACGUCUUGACGGUACCUAAUCAGAAAGCCACGGCUAACUACGUG
rnacentral:rRNA from 1 species